rnacentral:lncRNA from 1 species
GCUACAGGCUUUGGAAUCCUCUAUCUAUUCAUUAUACUGUUUUAAAUUACAUUCUGCUAGUAGCUGGGACAGCCUGGCGAUACAGUAGGUAAAAGAAAGCUCCUGUAAACCUUGUAACCUUGUCUUCAGUUUUGUUGCCCCCCCCUUUUUUUUUUUCUUUAAGUGUAAUAAUUCUUUAGCAGCUUCAUAUAGCCGUAUGUAUGCAUCCAUUGUAAAGUUGCAAAAGCUGUGUCACUUGAUGAAUUCGAAUGCUUUGAGGAGAUUCUUACUGUUACUCAGAAGCUGUCUCUAAAUCUAAUGUUUGAUCCUAUGACAUGAAGAAAUGAGAUCUUGAAAUGGUUAGUAGUAGGUGGCACUUCAAUAGAGUUCUAUUUUUACUAGCUUUUAUUAGUAAACGUGAAGAGAAGAUGAAACCAAUUUUGGUACACCAAACCAAUCAUAAUACUUCUUGAAAGCAAUAUUUGAAAAUAUAGAUAAGUGAUUUUUUUUGAUCAUACAGGUUUUCACCUGUCUAAUAGAAGUUAAAAUAAAUAACUGCAUAAAGUGUACUGGAAUAUUUGCAGUUAAAUUACCCCUUAUUUCAUGUCUUCAGAAGUUGUACUGUAUUUAACAGGUUGGUUAACUUGCUAGAGUCUAGUUAUAUUUUUCUAUUUCAUGGGACUCUAAAAGCUAUACUGUGUUUAAGAAUAAGUUUACAUGUUAUACAUGUAGAGAGCAUAUUAUAUGUCUCAGAACUGACCAUUCAGGUGCAUGUAAAACUGUUUUCCUUCAUAGUCCCUUAAAAUGAAAAAUACUGUAUGGAUUUAUAAAUUUUGUGGGUUUUUUUCUCCCUCGUGUAUAAAUUUAUUUUUAAGGUUAAUACACGUGGGCUGUUCCACUGCUGACUCUUACAUUUUACAUGGCACUGAUGUAAUUAAAAAAAAAAAAAAAACUUCCAUCUACUGAUCUGCUGGAACACUUGCAUUAUCAAGUCACCAUUUCAGUAGUUUAGGAACUAGUUUUGUUAGGAAUUUUGCCUUGAAAAAAAGUCUACUUAAUCUAUGUAAUGAUGCAGAUUUUUGCUUGCAUUCUUUAAACAUGGCAUGAGUGUUGGUGAAAUACUGUAACAUCAUUGGUCCUUCCUUAUUGCUAUUAAUUUUUUUUUAUUUUUAUUCAAGAAGGAUCUUUUUUAAGGUAAUGAGGUAUGUGUCUGGAACACUGUUUUAAGGUGGUAAUAAUUUUGCCAUUAUAAGAGUCUUGAAUUAUGUUGGGGGAGGGAGGUGUCUUUUGCAUGGUUGUCUGAUUCUGUACAUUCGUAAAACUUACAUGCAGAAAAUUUUUCUGAUCUCAUGUCUUCACGCUCUAGGUUUUUUGUUUUUUCUGAAUGUAUUCAAUAAAAUUCUUAUUACAUCCUGGUUGCUCGUGUUU